GGUCCCACAUCUCUCCGCCCAUAACUCCAGGGAUCUAGUCUCGGGGUCAUCUCUAUGGAAAGGAAGGUGAAAUCACACUUGGAUCUAUAGUGGUGGAGAGUCUCCAUGAGAAGUCCUCCUGCUCCCAUGGACCCUGCUUUGACACAGGGCAGCUGCACGAGGCCACCUUCUAACCUAGUCAUUGAUUGUGCCAGCUGUCUCACUGGUGACCAACACCGGCCCAGAAACAACAGCCUCCCACAAUCAUCCUCCAUGGAGAGAGAGAGAGCGAGUUCUAGACAAAGAAAGUGGGAAGUACAAAGGCAUGGAAGCGAUGGAAGUCCUCUGUGAUUGGAGAAUUAAAGUCACCCAAACUGGCUGGAGCAAAUACAGGAGAGAAACAGAAGAGAGGCCAAAGAGAGUUAAGGACCAUCAUGAAGAAGGAUGGAUAAGUACUUAGCAAGCAGGCAGCGGACAGGCUCCCUUCAGAUCUGGAAUACCUUUCCUGCUCUACCAUGGUGUUUCAAUGAGGCAAAA